GGCAAACAGGAGAAGACUAGCUUCCUGCCAGGUAGGAGGAGGAUCUCAAAUCCCUCCCUCACUGUGACACACUACCUCCAACAAAGGCUAUACCUCCUCAUAGUACCACUCCCUGGGCUAAGCAGAUUCAAACCACCACAGAAGGAGACUGCUUUCCAAUGAGAGAGAUACUGUGUAAGGAAAGAUGGAGAUAUGGUAACUUCAUAAACAAGAAGGAUUUAAAUGGUAAGCAGACCUGGGACCAGAUAACAGAGGGCCUCCUAUAUCAAGACAUGACUCAGUACACAGCAAGCCAGAGCUGUCCAGGCAAUGUUAGCAGCAGAAGAAAACUGAGAACUCAUUGUCAGAUUCCUAAAAUGAGAAACCUACAAUGCAAGCGGAGUGCUCAAUACAUUUUCUAAUCUACUGGGAACAUCAAUGCAUCUGCCCCUGUACUCAUUACUUUCAUGAUGCUGUGACUGAAGUACACUAGGCAAGACAAAGGGUUUGUUGUGGCUUUCAGUUUCAGAGAGAUGUCACACCUUGGAAGGGAUGCUGGUGAUGCAACUCUGCAUGUGGUUGCCUGUACCCUGCAGCAGAUACUCUCUGCUAGCCUGCAAGGAAGCAGGCCAAACUGGGGUGGUUCAUAGACUCCUGAUGAGUCAGGAUGCUACUGUGAACUGCAACAAUUACUAGAUGGUUGAUCGGUUUGAGAGAAACCACCUACAAGCACCCGUCUCUUCCCUGAGGAUAUCAGUCAUCCUACAAGGCUCUGCUCUUCUCCCACGUGCUACAGCUUACUCAUCGUUCCUUCCUGUUGAGUCAUUCUCUCUGAUCCUCUGCAGUGCAAACUGCAGAAGGCUUUGUUGCACCCACCAGAAAUUCUUUGUUUUAUUUAAGAGCAAUGUACAUGCAGUGGAAACUAUAAACUUUACAGAGCUUAGGUGUAUAACUUGAAACUUUACUUUUUCAUUAAAAUUAAAAAGAACUUGUGUGUGA